AUCAUCCAUAUCUUAGAGAAGAAC
rnacentral:snRNA from 1 species